rnacentral:lncRNA from 1 species
CCAGGUCCGGGAUUUCCUGUCUGCCCGCCACGCCGUGCGCCACCUGGCUCAGUGGCACUGCCCCGGGCUUCCGGUUUCGGCCCCUCAGCGUCGGGCGUGGCCUCUGGUGCCCAGCCCCAGCCGCACGUUCCUGGGGUGGCCAGGGAAGUAGUUAGGCUCUGGCUUCCCCCACUUCACCCGCCCCCGCUCCCGGAACGAGGCGAAUCAUUAACCAGGUCCGGGAUUUCCUGUCUGCCCGCCACGCCGUGCGCCACCUGGCUCAGUGGCACUGCCCCUUUCCGCGGGCGGCCGUCCCAAGGACCCGCUCCUGCCGCCCGGGGAGUGCGCUCGCCCCGGAAGUCAGAGCCGGCCCCGGGACCUCUGGCCGUGAGGGACCCUAGCUCCCCGCUAGACGGCGGUGGGGUGCAGGUGCACUUGGCCCUCCCGUCCAGCCCCACGGAAGACUUUCCUCGGAGGGAGCGGGGCCCCUGGGCGGCCCGUGAAUCUAGCCCGCUCACCUGGACGGUCGCUGGCCUUCGAUCCUGGGCGCUCCGGCGCCCCGACAACCUGCAGCCGCAGCGCCCGGCGCGCCCCGGCCCUGCCGCCUCAUUGGCCCGUGGACCGCAGGCCCCGCCCAAGAGCGCCCCAAUUAGCCCUGCAGCGCGGGCCUCCCGCCCACGACCACGCCUAUUGGCUGCUUCCUCUCUCCCCGCCCCAUUGGCUUGCCUCUCCCCUCCCCGCGUGCCCAGGUGUGGGCGGGGCCAAGGCUCUUGGGGCGGGGCCUGUCUCGGGGGCGGGACCGGAGGAGACAGAGCUCCGCCUGGAAACGGGACAGAAGGGUUUCUACAACCGUGCUUGACUUGCAGCGCGGCAGGUGUGCGGCCCCCUACCGGGCCGACUUCCUCCUCAGCCUUCCAGCGUGACAGGUCUCCGACCAGGGAAAGGGCUCCGGCCCCGACCCUGCAGCCCUGGAGAUGGCCCCCAAGCCUGGCCAGGAGUCUGAAGAGGAGCAGGUGCCACUGGCCCUGGCAGGAAGGGAGCCAGUUGGCAAUGACUCUGGGCCUCCAGCCACCAUACCUACAGACACCAUGGCUUCCUCAUGCCCUUGUAACACCAGGCCCCCAUCCACAGAGGUGGGGUCCAUCAGCACGAAGUUAGUGCUGGAAGCCCUGGACCCCUGGACACUACGGUUGCUUUGGGAGCAGCGAGAACUGGAGAUCCAGGCUCUGCGGUGGGCUAUCUGGCGGGGCCAGCAUGCUCGGCAGCAGCACAUCCUGCAGGAGGUGGCAGGACUCCCACCUGAGAG